rnacentral:tRNA from 4 species
CGGGGCGUAGCUCAGCCUGGCAGAGUGCCUGCUUUGGGAGCAGGAUGUCGGAGGUUCGAAUCCUCUCGCCCCGACCA